rnacentral:rRNA from 1 species
UGGGGAAUUUUGGACAAUGGGCGAAAGCCUGAUCCAGCAAUGCCGCGUGUGUGAAGAAGGCCUUCGGGUUGUAAAGCACUUUUGUCCGGAAAGAAAUCCUUGGCUCUAAUACAGUCGGGGGAUGACGGUACCGGAAGAAUAAGCACCGGCUAACUACGUGCCAGCAGCCGCGGUAAUACGUAGGGUGCAAGCGUUAAUCGGAAUUACUGGGCGUAAAGCGUGCGCAGGCGGUUUGCUAAGACCGAUGUGAAAUCCCCGGGCUCAACCUGGGAACUGCAUUGGUGACUGGCAGGCUAGAGUAUGGCAGAGGGGGGUAGAAUUCCACGUGUAGCAGUGAAAUGCGUAGAGAUGUGGAGGAAUACCGAUGGCGAAGGCAGCCCCCUGGGCCAAUACUGGCGCUCAUGCACGAAAGCGUGGGGAGCAAACAGGAUUAGAUACCCUGGUAGUCCACGCCCUAAACGAUGUCAACUAGUUGUUGGGGAUUCAUUUCCUAGUAACGUAGCUAACGCGUGAAGUUGACCGCCUGGGGAGUACGGUCGCAAGAUUAAAACUU